rnacentral:rRNA from 1 species
UACGUAGGGUGCGAGCGUUAAUCGGAAUUACUGGGCGUAAAGGGUGCGCAGGCGGCUUGCUAAGACAGGUGUGAAAGCCCCGAGCUUAACUUGGGAAUGGCGCUUGUGACUGGCAGGCUGGAGUGUGGCAGAGGGAGGUGGAAUUCCACGUGUAGCAGUGAAUGCGUAGAGAUGUGGAGGAACACCGAUGGCGAAGGCAGCCUCCUGGGCCAGCACUGACGCUCAUGCACGAAGCGUGGGAGCAACAGG